GCUGAGGUAGCGAAGCGGUCAAACGCAACAGACUGUAAAUCUGUCGGCCUUGUGCCUUCGCAGGUUCGAAUCCUGCCCUCAGCACCA
rnacentral:tRNA from 1 species